GAUCUCUCUGUCAAAUAAAUAAAUAAAAUCUUUAAAAAAAGUAUUCUUCCACAAAAAAAUAAUAUUUACUUCUCAAAUUUGUGUUAUUUACUCACCAGAUAUGUACCAGGUGCCUACUGUACAGUCUAGGGACUGGGGAUAUAAAGGUAUAGAACAAUUAAGACGUUGGUCUUAAGGCAACAGUCUACUGAUACAGAUGCAAUAGGUUUGGAUAUGUGCAAUGAAGGAAACAAACAGGAUAUUAACAUAAAGAAUAACCAGGGAGAAGAGCAGGAGGAAUUGACUUUAGAAAGUGUGGCCACUGAGUACCUUUCCGAGAAGGGGCCUUUUAAACCGGGACCUAAAUGAUAACAAGAAGCAGUAAGGCAAAGAGUGGGUGGAAAUUGCUCUGGACCAAGUGAACUGAAACUGCAAAUGCCCUGGUCUGGGAAAGAGCUUGGAAUGUUCUAGGAACUAGGAGAGGAGUGCGUCUGGAACUUAGUCAAGAGAGAGUGACAGAGAAGGAGAGAUGAGGGCUGGAUUCUGUGGGGUCUUAGAAGCCAGGUUAGGGAGUGCAGAAUGGCAUCUAGGUGCAGUGAAAAGCUUUUAGAAGAUUUUAAGAUGAGGAACACAGGAUCGGAUAUUUUAUAUUUUAAGAUCACUGUGAGUGAAGAGUGUGAAAAAUAGAUUGUGGGGAGGCACGGAAGGAAACCAGCUGCCCCGCUAGGCAGUAAAUGAAGUAAUUACAGUGGUGAAGAAUUAGAGUGGCCUGGACUAAAAUGGAGGCAUGGAGACGGAAAGAAGCAGACAGAUUUGGCAUAUAAUAUUUGGAGCCAAAAUAUACUUGCUCGCGGGACAUGAUGGCUUUGAAAUGUGUGGGAAGAAGAAAAUCAAUGACAACAGAGUUAUGGCUUGAGCGACUGGGUGAAUGACAGCAACACUUACAGAGAUUAUGGUGUUGGAAGAGGGAAGCAAAAUCACAUGGUUAGUGGAGCAAUAUCACGACGAAAAAUUGGGAGAAAUUAAGUUUGGGGCGUGUUAAAUUUGAGAUGUUCAGGUACUGUCUGACUAUAGAUCAAGUAUGCCGUGGACAUGCCUGUCGAGAGCUGAAGGGAGGUCAGAGCUGGAGAGAGAGAUUUGAGGCUCAGCGAUACGGGUUUCGGACUCGUACACACACAUUUCACAGGCAAGUGUUUCAAACGGCCCAAGCAGAAGAGAUCACUUGGGGAGAGAGCAGGAAAAGAGGACAGAAACGGGCAGCCCGAACACCCGCAAUACCUGAAGGUAAGUGGAGGCGGAGAAUGUAGCAGAACAAAGAAGCCAGAGACCUGGGGAGCCUGAAGGCGAUGAUGUCACAGAAGCUGAGAGAGGAGAGAAUUACAAGAUGGCAUUUCCUGUAUGUGAGACACUGCUGAGAGGUCAAGUCAUAUAAAGGAGCAGAAAGUGUCCAGUGUGUCUGGCAAACAUGGAGGUUACCGGUAUCUUUUACAAGAAGUUUUGGAGGAGUAACAAGGUCAGAAAGUCCUAUGAUGGAUUCCUUGCCACCUCUCCUGGUCUGAGCUGUAUUUCCCACCAAUAUCUUCAAUGAUUAUCCCUGCAGCAAUGUUAGAAUAAAUAAAAUAACAAACAGUUUAAAUACCUGAAGACUCAAGACUGCAAAGCCAGUGUAUUUUCGACACAGACAAACCUACUGAAGGCUGUUUGAUGAGCCCAGAUUCAGAACAAGUGGAGUUAUGCUCGGGCUUGUUCUUGAUUCAUCUAUCUCCAUGACAGGAUGAUUUUGUCCCAAAGAUGGAAGGACUCAGUUUCCAAUGGUUGCAACUUUCUACACUGAUCUCCGAUACAGUAGGGACAUCCUGCCAUGCUAUUGAUUGAGCUGCUUCUCUCCUUGACAGCGCUGGGAUGGGCACUGAGGGGCUCCUGUCUGCGCCUUUCCCCGUUUCCAUGGCAACCCAAACCUCUUAGCAAACUUGUUUCAAUAACAAUGAAGUUACAGUCUGGUCAGGCCAGAUUGUGUUUUAAAGGUGACUUUGCUUGCUUCUGGUCUUAUCCAUUGUGGGUAAUGUUAAAGUUUAGGUCUCAGAGAGCAGUUUUAUUUCCCUUAUUUCCAGGAUCUCGGGGAAAAUUGGACUGAAAUCUCAGGGAUUGGUCCAAUGUCUGGAGCCAAAUAAUAUUCUUUUAAAAUUUAUUUUGUUUUGUAUUAUUCGAACCUUUUCUAACACCUCUUCCACAUAGGUAAAUUUGCCAUAAUGGAAAUGUUCUCAUGACACAGGGAAUGAAAGUUUGUCCUUCAACUUCCAGUUCUGCUUCUUUAAAAAUUAAUUUUAGGGUUACAUUAUCAAAUUGCCAGUUGGUGAUAUGCAGUCAGGCAAACUGUUUCUUACUGAAAAAGACUGAUUCUCCAAACCAUAUGACAUAUGACCUUUUUUCUUUGUUAUUGCUCAGUCUUAUUGUUUGUGUGGGGUGUGUGUGUGUGUGUGUG